rnacentral:rRNA from 1 species
ACGGGAGGCAGCAGUGGGGAAUAUUGGGCAAUGGGCGGAAGCCUGACCCAGCAACGCCGCGUGAGGGAAGAAGGUUUUCGGAUUGUAAACCUCUGUCCUUGGUGACGAAGGAAGUGACGGUAGCCAAGGAGGAAGCCCCGGCUAACUACGUGCCAGCAGCCGCGGUAAUACGUAGGGGGCGAGCGUUGUUCGGAAUCACUGGGCGUAAAGGGAGCGUAGGCGGAGAUGCAAGCAGUCUGUACAAUCCCGGGGCCUAACCCCGGAUCUGCAGACUGGACUGUGUCUCUUGGAUAGUUCAGGGGCAGGCGGAAUUCCUGGUGUAGCGGUGGAAUGCGUAGAGAUCAGGAAGAACACCGAUGGCGAAGGCAGCCUGCUGGGGACUCAUCGACGCUGAGGCUCGAAAGUGCGGGUAGCAAACAGGAUUAGAUACCCUGGUA